CUGGAGGUAUCAGAAGUGCGAAUGCUGACAUAAGUAACGAUAAAGCGGGUGAAAAGCCCGCUCGCCGGAAGACCAAGGGUUCCUGUCCAACGUUAAUCGGGGCAGGGUGAGUCGACCCCUAAGGCGAGGCCGAAAGGCGUAGUCGAUGGGAAACAGGUUAAUAUUCCUGUACUUGGUGUUACUGCGAAGGGGGGACGGAGAAGGCUAUGUUGGCCGGGCGACGGUUGUCCCGGUUUAAGCGUGUAGGCUGGUUUUCCAGGCAAAUCCGGAAAAUCAAGGCUGAGGCGUGAUGACGAGGCACUACGGUGCUGAAGCAACAAAUGCCCUGCUUCCAGGAAAAGCCUCUAAGCAUCAGGUAACAUCAAAUCGUACCCCAAACCGACACAGGUGGUCAGGUAGAGAAUACCAAGGCGCUUGAGAGAACUCGGGUGAAGGAACUAGGCAAAAUGGUGCCGUAACUUCGGGAGAAGGCACGCUGAUAUGUAGGUGAAGUCCCUUGCGGAUGGAGCUGAAAUCAGUCGAAGAUACCAGCUGGCU
rnacentral:rRNA from 1 species